GCAGCUAGAGGAAAAGAUAAAAGAAGCAACACAAAAUGAAGCUAAAGUAAAGCAACAAUAUCAAGAAGAACAACAGAAGAGGAAACUUCUAUAUCAGAACGUAGAUGAGUUACACAGGCAAGUGAGAACCUUACAAGAUAAAGAAAAUCUACUGGAAAUGACCUGUUCUCAGCAACAAUCCAGAAUUCAGCAACAAGAGGCCCUACUUAAACAACUGGAAAAUGAAAAAAGAAAAUAUGAUGAGCAGUGCAAGAACAGCUUGACACAGAAAAUUGGUACCAAGAAGCGGAGCGUUACUAAAAAAGAUACCUGAAAAUGUGGAAGCAAGUUUGGAACUGGGUAACAGGCAGAGAUUGGAAGAGUUUGGAGGGCUCAGAAGAAGGCAGGAGGA
rnacentral:lncRNA from 10 species